rnacentral:rRNA from 1 species
UGGGGAAUUUUGGACAAUGGGCGAAAGCCUGAUCCAGCAAUGCCGCGUGUGUGAAGAAGGCCUUCGGGUUGUAAAGCACUUUUGUCCGGAAAGAAAUCCUUGGCUCUAAUACAGUCAGGGGAUGACGGUACCGGAAGAAUAAGCACCGGCUAACUACGUGCCAGCAGCCGCGGUAAUACGUAGGGUGCAAGCGUUAAUCGGAAUUACUGGGCGUAAAGCGUGCGCAGGCGGUUUGCUAAGACCGAUGUGAAAUCCCCGGGCUCAACCUGGGAACUGCAUUGGUGACUGGCAGGCUAGAGUAUGGCAGAGGGGGUAGAAUUCCACGUNUAGCAGUGAAAUGCGUAGAGAUGUGGAGGAAUACCGAUGGCGAAGGCAGCCCCCUGGGCCAAUACUGACGCUCAUGCACGAAAGCGUGGGGAGCAAACAGGAUUAGAUACCCUGGUAGUCCACGCCCUAAACGAUGUCAACUAGUUGUUGGGGAUUCAUUUCCUUAGUAACGUAGCUAACGCGUGAAGUUGACCGCCUGGGGAGUACGGUCGCAAGAUUAAAACUUAAAUGAAUUGACGGGGUCAUAGC